UUCGUAAAUUGGCGGGGCACGUAUGGUGGAGGACUUCGAGAAAACGUCAAAACAGUCAAAGUGGUUAUCAUGACAGUCAGACUCAGAGCCAAUGAAGUGGAUGCUGUCAAGAAUGCUUAUGUGAACCACACAAAGCUGAUCUUCAACUGAAGGAAUGCCCAACUUUCAAAGUCCUUGCCAUUCGGUUUGUCAUGGUUAAACUCUGUUCAUUGAACUAAUAUGCUCUAGAACAGAGCUCCAGUAAAGUCUAUUGGGCCAACUUCUUGGGGCAUGGAAAUAAUCUUAUGAGUUAUGUAGUUAAACUGAAAUCUGAAAUGAGUGAUUUGAUUCCAAAUACAUUAACAAAUGGACUAAAUCUUCGUGAUGUUUAGACCUCGAGCACGUAGAUGCUUGGAACUAAUUAAGUCCAAUUUUAAAAUAGUUUGAAAAUAAGUUGCACAGUAAACCUAACCUUAACAUUAGGUUAGUGCUCAUAAAAGUAAAUUUAAACUUCAAAUAUGUAUAACUAUGUUUAAUUCACUUUAAUAAAUGAAAUCAAUAUUUGUUUAGAUUUAAGAAUAUCCAGUGCCUAAAACUAAGUCUUCCACUUGAUUUUAAGUUAAUUUAGAAAGCAUCAGCAGAACCAUAAAUGUAACAAAACCUAAGGACAAAGCUCAUAAAAGUCAAAUUUAGCUUUAGAUGUGAGGCAGCUCACUUGGGAUGGCAAUCCAGUUUUGACUGCAAUGUGGUAGCAUUCAAGUAUGCCAAAGUCAUUUUUGUUUCCACUAUUCUGUGUAAAACUGUAGACCCUUGCAGCAUUUGAAUUAGGUCAUUCAAUCAUCUGCAUGCAUCCAUUGACAGACAGUCAUAUUAACCACUGGCACUGACGACAUAAACCACCUAAUUAACCACUAACCAGACCUGUCCAAAUGUUGCAAGGACUGGGCAAAUAUUCCACGCUUCUUGGGAACUUGUGAGUUCACUUGUGCAUUUUCUUCUUAGGUUCUCAAAGCUGGAUUGCCAGUAAAAACAGUUGUAGCAUUGACAAAAUUUAUUGAAAAACAAACAAUUUGAGUCAACUUUUACAUUUGGCUGAAAUAAUGAGCACAAACAAGAAAGGAAAUGAAAAUGCUUUAAACAAAUUCUUUCAGAGCAUAAUCUACAAAAGGGCAUAUUUAAAAACAAUCUUAAUGUUAAAAAUGGACACAAAUUUUUAAUGAAAUUAAAUUCUCUAUGAAAAUGGUAUAAAUGAUAAAUAGCCAAACAAUAAAGGAUGUGUUCAAUGUAAAAAUGCAAUUUAAAAACUACAUUCAUAAAAAGAAAUGUUUGAAAGGAUUAGUUAGUAUAAGGCAUAAACCUGAAAGAAUUUUAUUUCAAAACUGUAAUUACAAACAAGGUAACUCACAUUUCUUGUUUGCCAUAACCACAUGAUUUAAAAAUUGAGGUAUAUGACAUUUAUUCAAGUUGGCCCUUGACAUACUUGGGACAAUGUUCAGUACGGAGCAGUAAAAUGUGAGAGUCAUUCUGGAGAAACUCUGAAAAUCGCCUCCAAUUAUAA
rnacentral:lncRNA from 1 species